UACGUAGGGUCCGAGCGUUGUCCGGAAUUAUUGGGCGUAAAGGGCUCGUAGGCGGUUUGUCACGUCGGGAGUGAAAACUCAGGGCUCAACCCUGAGCGUGCUUCCGAUACGGGCAGACUAGAGGUAUGCAGGGGAGAACGGAAUUCCUGGUGUAGCGGCGGAAUGCGCAGAUAUCAGGAGGAACACCGGUGGCGAAGGCGGUUCUCUGGGCAUUACCUGACGCUGAGGAGCGAAAGCAUGGGGAGCGAACAGG
rnacentral:rRNA from 1 species